UACGUAGGGUGCGAGCGUUGUCCGGAAUUAUUGGGCGUAAAGAGCUUGUAGGCGGUUUGUCGCGUCUGCUGUGAAAAUCCGGGGCUCAACCCCGGACUUGCAGUGGGUACGGGCAGACUAGAGUGUGGUAGGGGAGACUGGAAUUCCUGGUGUAGCGGUGAAAUGCGCAGAUAUCGGGAGGAACACCGGUGGCGAAGGCGGUUCUCUGGGCCUGUACUGACGCUGAGGUGCGAAAGCGUGGGGAGCAAACAGG
rnacentral:rRNA from 1 species